UGCUGACGUGUUGUUAUGGAGGAAACGGUGUGGAGGUGUUGUAUUGCUAGGUUCUUCUACGAUUCUGUGGUUUCUCUUUGAACGAGCUGGCUAUAAUUGCUUGUCUUUUGUGUCUAACGUCUUGUUGCUUCUCGUCGCAAUCCUUUUCUUCUGGGGCAAAUCUGCUUCCCUUCUCAACAGGUAGGUUUAGUUUCUUUACUGUAGUUGUAAUUUGCUGGAAACAUUUCAAUGCCUUGCACUUUUAGAUGUAAAUUAUCAACUUGGAUAAAUAAUGUUUUAGUGUUGGUGGAUCAAAACCAGUCUAAUGCAUCAGCUGAUAUAUAAUCAUUUCGCAUCAGAUUGUAUGUAAUUGUUUGUUUGAGGAGUUAGAAUGUGUUGUGUUACUUUAAAUACUUUGAUUGGAGUAAUGGUAAUUGUAUCGCAACAGCAAGUGCAAGUGUGCAGGCUUAAUUGGUAGGCCUUUAUUUGGAAGAUUGCUUCCAACCGGAUGAAUUAAUGAAAGGAUUGUAGAGAAUAAGGAAGUUUUUAUGAUACUAUAUUAGAAUUGGUUAUGUCGAGACAAAUAUGUAGGUACUUAUAUUCUUCUGAGACUUGAAUCUGUUGGAAAUUGAAGUUGAGUUUGAGAUUGAAUUAUGAUGCGGCUUGUUUUAAGUGAUGGAAGGGAUUUUUUUGGUUUAGGCCUCUGCCUCCCCUUCCUGAUCUGGAAAUUUCAGACCAAUCUGUUGUGAAGGUUGCUGAUGAAAUUCAAGUGUGGGUCAACCAUGCUUUAUCUAUUGCAAGGGAUAUUGCCAUGGGCAGAAAUUUGAGCAGAUUUCUUCAGGUUGGCUGUUGAUCUUUUUCUGAGUUUUUUCCAGUGAGAUAUUCAUAUUUUUUUAUGUUAAUCACUAGAGAAAAUAAUUUGAGGCGUUUCUUUCUUAUGCGGGGGUUUGACCAUCAGGUUGCUUUUCUGUUGUGGGUGGUAUCUUAUGUUGGUAGUGUCUUCAACUUUCUUACUCUUGUCUAUAUUGG
rnacentral:lncRNA from 1 species